rnacentral:lncRNA from 1 species
CCCAAACCAUCCCCCACCCUUAUCCUGUCCAUGGAAAAAUUGUCUUCCACGAAACCAGUCCCUGGUGCCAGAAAGAUUGGGACAACUGCCCUAACUGAUGUAAGAGUAUGGGCAAUAAGUGUUUUCAGUGCACUGAGUGAUUAAAGAUUGUUGGGGCAGGGUGUGUGCAAGUUGAACUUAGCUCAGUGCAUCCACUGGCAAGGAGGUGGUAGCAGGAAAUAGGCAUGUGGUGACUUCAGUAACAGAGACGACUGCAGGGCUGACCUAAGCUUAGUAGCCUGGCUUCUCCGGGAGCUGAGGGUGAGCAUCAUGCCUGCUCCAUCUCCCUCUUUGUUGUGGAUAAGGCAGGGUCAUCAAGACAGGAGGAUAUGAGGCAGAAUCACCACACAAGCUAACCUGAUGUACAUAUGACAUUAAUCCAAUAGACUUAGGAAUAAGAUACAGGGGGUUUUCCUGAAUGAUUCGAGUAUAUCCCCAUUCAUAUUAAGAAAACAAAGUAUUGGCCAAGCGUGGUGGCUCACGCCUGUAAUCCCGGCACUUUGGAAGGCCGAGGCCAGUGGAUCACCUGAGAUGGACUCAACGACUCUCUUACCGUCCAGCUCUCAAGUCCCUUCUCUUGUGAAAAUGGAAAAGUUGAACUACAGUUGAGAUAUUAUUCCCAGGUGUUCUUUGGAACACAGGGGAUUUCUCCAAAAGGCACAGAACAAAUUGCCUCCAAACAGCCAAGAUUCCAGCAGAAGCUGGAGUAGCAGACUACUUGGAUCUUCAAAGUACCUGGCCCUGAGUCAGUUAAGGAAGAUCUUUUCUUCUCUUUUGUACAAUCCUAUGAUGAGAGCUGCAAAGUGAACUGACUAAGAGCUUCUGCCUUGAUCAUUGACCUCCCAAUCCUAAUAAUAUGUUCACUGGCCAAACUUCCUAAUCGAUUUGUCUUUUGGAUAUAACGUUCCUCCUACUGUUUGCCUGAUUGAGAAAUCUGCUACAGAACAUGACCGGUUAGCAUUCCCACCAACCCCAGUGCUACACUGACUGUCUUUCGAUGGACUUUGCUCCUUGCUGCCUCUCUGAGGUCCCAGACCUUCAGAGUGACCUUCACAGCUCUGCCUAACUUUCUGUCAUACUUCUAUCAAGAGAGACAGCUAAAUCAAUAUUUUUAAUGUGCUUUGCUGUCGGAAUUCGAUGAUCUGUCACAGUUCUUGCCCAAUACACCCCAUCAUUAUUGUUAAAAUGUUUUUAGCUUUGUUUGUAGAAUUGCUUUAACUGGUUUCAUCUCUGGGAGCUACACUUUGAAAUAUAACUUUAGCAACAUUUUACUAUACUUUUUCACAACCCAGAGCAGUACUAUUUUAUGCUUAGUGGUUAAACUAAUUCCAUAAAUCUUUUGCAACUAUCCUCUAUUCUUUUUCUUGUAAUUUUUACCUGGGAAGGUUUUUACUGAUAAUCAUCCUAUCCUGAGUCAUCCCACAAACCAAUCUGUCUCACUAAUCAUUGCUUCUAACCUACAGACUAAGCAUAACUUCUGCUAAAUGAUCUUUGAUAAGAUGCUAUGACUCUAUAAAGUCUUUGAUAUUCAUGUCUAAAUUUAAUCACUUGUAGAUUUUCAUAGAAUCAAUCUUUCACUUCUACAAUUGGGAGUAUUUAUAAGUUGUUUAUCUUAAACAGUUCCUCUAUCACGCUUUUCACGUUAAAUAAAGC